rnacentral:rRNA from 1 species
UACGAAGGGGGCUAGCGUUGCUCGGAAUCACUGGGCGUAAAGCGCACGUAGGCGGAUUGUUAAGUCAGGGGUGAAAUCCUGGAGCUCAACUCCAGAACUGCCUUUGAUACUGAGGAUCUUGAGUACGGGAGAGGUGAGUGGAACUGCGAGUGUAGAGGUGAAAUUCGUAGAUAUUCGCAAGGACACCAGUGGCGAAGGCGGCUCACUGGCCCGUAACUGACGCUGAGGCACGAAAGCGUGGGGAGCAAACAGG